AAAGCUUUAAGUUAUAAAAACUAUUAACCUUCAAAGUUAAAAAUAUUAAAUUAUUAUUAAGCUUUA
rnacentral:tRNA from 1 species